rnacentral:lncRNA from 1 species
UGUUGGGUUAUAGUUGGAGAUUCUAUUCUGAUUUUAGUAAAUGCAACCUUGCCACUUGCUUAGUUCUAGUUAAUUUGAAUGGCUAUUUUUUGUUCAAAUUGAAAUAUUUCUUUGUUCUCUAGUAGCUAAUUGUCUUGGUGAUUAAUUGGUUGUAUAAGUAAUUGUCUCGUAUAAUGACAAAUCAAUGGAGUUACCACUAUACUAGGGAAUUAUAGUAGCCUUGAUCGCUAAAAUAUCAAGAAUAGCCUUAUAGUUAUUUCUAGAUCAAUGAUUGGUGAGAUGAAUAAAGAAUUUGUUCCUUUGAAAGUGUAUAAAAACAAUUUGUUUUUUGUACCAAUUUAAGAUUCAAAUGUGUUCGGUUGUUUACCUGCGAUAUCACAUAGUAAUAUUUGGAAAGAUCUACAACUAAAUUCAUGUAGAUUCUAAAUUCUGAUUAACACUUACUCUUCUCAAUGUGAUAAUGGGUCUUAAGAUUCUCUCAAUCCUCUUUUGAACUAUCUUGGAUAUAAGUUCUCUAAGUGAUCGUCAUUUGCAGUUUGGUCAUAAUGUGUUUAGUUAAAACCAAAUCGAAUAGUAGAAUUGUUAAUUAUUUUUUCUUUUUUGAUGCAUGUGAAUGUGUUGCAUCUGAGUUCUCCACGGACUCUCAAUUACAUUUUCUUUGUCGAGUAAAUUCUGAGAGAAAGCCCAAAAAUCGAUCAUAUGGUGUAUGGAUGCAAGAAGGAAACGAGAGAAGAAGCAACGGUUAAACCCAAUUUGAAGCGGCCAAGAGACAUGAAAAUCUCGAUUUUUUAUUUUUAUUUCUUUUGCGUAUGUUUCUUAUUUACUCAUUUAUUGUCACCUUUAGUUAUUUAUUUCAUUUAUUCCUUUAUUUAGGCCUCGAAGACAAGGAUGUAAAUUUAAUACAGGUGAUACAAACUCGAGCCAUGGGUUCGAGAGCAAAAACUAGACUAGGACAGGUGAAAUGGGUCAAAAGUCCAAUUAGACUAGGACAGGUCUUAUUGAUUUGGGCCCAAUGGCCUAAAUCCCUUACUUCCUCCACUUUUCCUCUUCUUUAUGGUUGUUUGUCUUAUGUGCUUUGCGAACCUAGUUAAAUCCUCAGUGAAGUCGCUGAAAAAUUGGUUUUGCAUAAAUACAAAAAUAUUCCUAAAAUUGCUUUCUUUUCAAAAAUCAACUUUUUUCAAGGGUAAUCAUAGACGAUUUUCAAACAACCCGAAUAGCCGCAAGUUAGCGGAUGUUUUAGGUGCCUAACACCUUCCUAAAAUGUUAAUAGGAACCACUUACCUAGAAUCUCUAACUUAAACGAUUUUCCUCUUUUGAAUCAUUUGAAGUAACUUUAUAAGGGUUUCUUAAUUCCUUUUCAAAAUUAACUGGUGACUCUUCAAAAGUAGAAAAUUUCUCCGUAACACAGAAAUGGCAACUCUUCUUGGGAAUUUGACUAAGUUCUAACCAAAUGUUUGAUUUUUUCUUUUGAUUAACUGUUUAUGUGUUUAUGUGUUUCGAUUCUGUAAAGUUUAACUAUCGCAUCUCAUGGCAUAUUCCUACAUUAUUUAAACUGCUCAAUUCCAAUAAUGUGUUGGAAAUACGAACGGCUAAUUAGCACGUGAGUCAUCUGAUGGAUAUUCGUAUUUUCAAACUCAAGUUGUCCGCUUGAGAACCAGUGUUCAAACCCACUCUAGAAACCUAGGAUAGAAUGAAACCAAAAACCUAUUUUAGGCAUGAGUCUAGGACGACCCAAUACCCGAGCAGAGUAUUGGGCCCAUAAGAACACCUUCCCUGCGUCUAUUGACCCCAAGUCAAUUAUAGACAAAUCAUAUUUAUGUGUUGAAGAAAAUAUAAGUCUGUCUAAUUCAAUCCAUUAUCCUUUGGAGAUCGGGAAAAAGCUUGAUUUGCUUACUUUCGUAAGAAGAAUUGAAGCAAGUUCAGCAAGAAAUUGAUCGAUUUAGGAGGUUGCAUCUAAGGCACAAUUUGAAUGUCAAUGGAUGUAACCAAUAUAAGAAGUGGACUAAUAUAAGAAGGCGAAGGAUGAUAGAAGAAGCACCCAGGAGUUAGUAUUUUCUAUCCCCUGUGUGGAAAUGUGUCUUCUUUCAUGUUAUUUCCCUUUCCCUAAAAAUUGUAUCCCUCUUUUGUUAUAUUUUGUAGGCAUUUAUGCCCUUUUAGUGUCUAUAAAAGUUCGGGGAUAAUGGAUUGACCUUAAGAAAGCAUAUAUUUUUCUUCAAAAAUCAUUAGGCCCAAAUCCUUGGCUCAAAAGGGUCACCCCAGUUAGGAUACGCAUUAGUAUAAUGUUCUUAUGUGAUAUAAUUGUCUUAUGUGUUUAUGUGCGUUUAUUUGGAUCAAAGAAAAAUUUAUCCGCUAUGCUCCUAUGGAUUGAUUUGGCUAUGAAACAAACAACUCUACGUGGCUAUUUCUUGUCAAGUAUUUUGCAUUGCUUAUCACAUGUGGAAACUAGCACAUUUGCCUUUGAGUUGUUUUACUUUACAGAUAAUAGAAAUUACUCCGUGUUGAAAUAAGCUGGCAGAACAUCCUUACUUCACCCGGUCAAAAGCGCACAAAAUCCCAUCCUCUGACCAUCAUUUAAUAAUGACUGCAAAUGACAAAAAAAUACAUUGACCAUCAGGGACAAUGUAAUAGCGAAAUAGAUUAAGAUGAUUGCGGAACUCACAAGAAAGCUAGACAUACUUCAGGAGGAAAUAAAUCAUACUCAAGAUUUGGCUAACCUAGCCAUCACUGUCAAUGCUCCUACUCUAGGAGGACACGGGACUCCACUCCAAAUCCCUCUCCUCGGUAUGCCUAUUCUCGGGGAUCAUCCAAAUAACAUAGUAUUCAUCUCUGCCCAUCCACUUGUCCAAAAUACCAAUCGUGAAAGUACCCCAGAUGCUUACCGUCCACAAAAUCCAGCCCUCACCCCACAAAAUCCUUCUCCGAAUCUACAAAAUUCAUUCCCAAAUCCCCAGAACCCAUUGGUAAAUCCACAAAAUCCAUCCCUAGAUCUACCAAAUCUGCCAAAUCUAUCUCCGAACCCACAAACUUUAUUUCUGAAUCCACAGAAUCCAUACCAGAUCCCACUAAGCUACUCUUAAGUUCCACAAAACCUUUUUAGUUUCCAAAAUGCUCUCCCCACCCACCAACAAACUUCCUUUUAUCUACAAAAUCAAGCCUCCUUUCUAAAUCCUUCUCAUGUCAUCAUAUCCCCUGACAUCUAUAAUUCUUUUCCUAAUCCAGAGGUGGACCAUUACGAGAAGAAAGAGAAAGAGUGGAGGACCGAGCAUGAAAUAAAGUUGCUAGCUAUGAAUGAAGAUAUCAUGAGGAUCAAGGAAUCACAUGGAGCGGGGAAUAACGAUGGGUUAGGUUACGAUGAUAUAUAUGUUCACCCUAGAGUAGAUCUACCAGAAGGGUAUAAGGUACCUAAAUUUAAAGUGUUCGAUGGCACCUGAAAUCCAAUGCCCAUCUAAGAAGGUAUUGUGAUCAAAUGGUGGGAUUAGGGGAAAAUGAGGCAUUAUUGAUGCGCCUAUUCAGUAGAAGCUUAAGUAGCGAAGCCUUAGAUUGGUUCACGUCUCAAGAAUUGAAAAAAUGGACUAGUUGGAGGGCAUUAGCCAAAGGUUUCCUUAAUAGGUUUGCAUUCAACAUUGAAAUAGUCCCUGACCAAUAUUCCUUAGAUCGGAUCAAGAAGAGGAAUGAUGAGUAUUUUAGAGACUAUGCCUUUCAUUGGAUAAAAGAAGCUGCCAAAGUAUAACCUCCCAUGUUGAGGAAGAAAUAGUGUCUGUGUUCUCUCAUGCUCAGGAGGGAGAAUAUUAUACCAGGUUGGUAUCCGUGGUCUAAGAAACUUUCACAGAUUUUGUAAAUAUUGGGGAAUCUUUAGAGGAAGGCAUCCAAAUAGGAAAAAUUGCCGAAACCCCAACAUCAUCUGAAUCUUCUGCAUUCUCAUAUAAGAAAAGAGAAGAUGUGAUUGCGGUCUCUACUGAUUUUUAUGAUAAAUUGAAGAGGAAAUUCAAGCCUAGGAAUAUUCUUUCCUUACCACCGUCACCAAAUUUUCAGCCUAUAUUCUAUGCCUAUCCCCAAUAUCAAGCUCCAAUUUCAAAUAUUUUACCCAAGUGUCAAAUUCCAGCCAAAUUAUCAAUCUCAUAUUAAAGCUAUUCUUCCAAAUAAUCAAAUAAAUGUCCAAGAACCUCCAAACUAUCAUCAAGUACCUCCUCCUGCUAAUCAAAAUCAGUAUAACUACCCACGUGUAAUCCUCGAGAAGAAGCCUCCUAAAAAUUUUACUCCUUUGGCUGAAAGUCAUACCUAUCUCUUUGAAAGAUUGAUGAAGACCGGUUAUUUAUAGCCUAUUCCACCAAAGAAUACCAAUCUCAAUUCUCGAUUCUUUUAUGCAGAUCAAGUCUGUGCUUAUCAUUCAGGAGCUCCCAGGCAUAAUAUUGAAGAUUGCAUCAAUUUGAAACACAAGAUAUAAGACUUGAUUAAAUAGAAGAUCAUCACUCUUUAGGCACCAGCACCAAAUGUUGCUAGUAAACUAUUGCCUAAUCAUGAGGGAGCCGCAGUUAGCAUGAUUGAAAUAGCAGGAGAAUGGGUAUCUAGUGAGACAAUUGCUAAUGUAGAUUCACGAAACUCUAAAAAGAUAGAAGGAGUGGAAAUGAUAGAGAAAGUUAUGGCUGCCUUGAGUAAGAGUUAGGAAGGAAUUAUUGAGCUUAUGGUCCUGGAAAGAGCAUUUAAGAAUGGAGUAGGAUACCAACCAAGAAAGGAAGAUGAGAUUGAAGAUAAUUCAAAGGAGAGUCUGUUUAGUCCCUUGCCACUCUUGUACCAGUCAUUUCCUGUACAUGAGAUGUCAAACGAUGAUUGUCUAGGGGAUGGGAUAGGAGAUAUGUUCAAAGGAUGCCAUGCUCUACCACAUGAUUUCCCAAAGCCCUGUGGAGUGAAAAAGAUUGCAUCAGAGGAGGCCUUGGAAAACUGCACCUCCACUCUACUCAUAACCCAUCACCCAUCGUGGAAGAUGAAAAGGGAAAUUACUAAUAGUUUUUAAAAUUGGUGAUGAUCUGGAGGAGGCCUCAUGAUCCACCCUUUUAUGUCUCAAAUUUUUAUUUCGUGUUUUACAACUUUCAAAAAGGCAUGGGCCCACAUUUGUGUGGGUUAUAAGCCAUAGUUUUUAUUUAUUUUCCCAAAGACUUUCCUUUAUUUAAGAAGUUAUUUUUUUUAAAUAUAAUUAUCUAUCAUGGUUUAUUUUGGUAGAAAUAAUUUAAAAACCUACCAAUAUCAUGUCAUGUCAAGGAUUAGACGAACAAAGCGAAGGAAAUAAUGAUGAACGAAAAAGGUGAUGAGGAGCAGUUAGUAGUAGAUAUAGAGGAAUGUGAAAAUCAAGAGAAGCCCAACCUGGAGGAGCCCUAAUCCUACCUGAGAUGGAUGGUCAAGAGUGGACCAAACCAAUCAAUUCAAAUACGGUAACGAGAUAUUGUACUUGAAAGAUGUUAUAGUGUUUGUUUCUUGGUUUAUUUGUAAUCGCCUUUAUAAUAGUAUCAAUUUCAUGAUGUGUAAUUGCCUAGAACCCCUUCCCUUUAUGUACGAACUACGUUUGACCUGAAUUCUCAAGAAUGAGAUAUGAACUUGGCCUAUGUCGGCUUCGGUCAACCCCUUAGGAAAAUUUAUCCUUUCCUUUUAUGUAUGAAUAUGUGAUGACCUGAAUUCUCAAGAAUGAGAUACAUAGGCGGCCUAUGUCGGCUUCGAUCAACCUCUUAGAUUUUUCUAUAUAUCCUUAGCGUAGUCUUGAACUACGUUUGACCUAAUUCCUGCUUCAACGGGAUAUGUAGGCACCCUAACGGCUCGAUCAUCUAACCCCAGGAAAUGAAAACUGUGGGAAAAUUUUUGAGAAGGAAUCUCGGAAAUUCAUUAAAGGAAGAUCUUCAUCCAACAAAGAGAACGAAGACCAAUAAAGACUUUGGAUCAUCUCGAGUUGGUAUCAUAUCAAACAACUUUAAACUAGGGCAGAAAUUUUAAGGGAGGCCUCAAAAUUUCCACUAAAUACAGGAAUAUAUUUCAAAUUCCCCGGCACUAUAGGUCGAAGUCGAGAUUUGAGAAUCACCAACUAUGAUAAAGUCUAGGUAAACUAAAUCUUUGGCUAUGACGAAACCAUUUGUAGAACCCUUCAAUAAUGAUGAUGAGUUCUGGAACUCCUCCAUUGGAUAUAGUCAAAAAUAAGGGGAAUACGUUCGUUGAGCUAGUACAUGACAUAACUGACAGAGAUUUUCGAAAGCUUUUAUAGAAACUUUCGAAAUUAUUUGCUAAAAAUAAAACUACUUUUGAAAAAUCUUUACAAAAUCUUUUACUUAGUGAUUGCCUAGGCAUCUAUAGGAGCAGGGAGCCAGGGUGGAGGUACCAACAUGGCGGAGUACCCAAAAGAUGGCGUGGAGAAAAUAGAGAAUCGAAGAAUGUCAAUAUGGAGUAGUUUGACUCAAACUAAUCAUUUUUCUGUGGAUGCAGGGACAAAUACACAAAAAUAAGAGUCUCUUUCAAAAAUCUCCGAACAAAUUGGGAGACACACCAGAGCACUAAUGCUCAAGAACGGUAUUUUUGGGUAGCCCUAAAAAUGGGUUUAAUACCCAUUUAUUGAGGACUUGUUGAAUUGUCCAUCUCACUUCUUGAGAUCAUGGAGGAAAAACAAAAGUGUCUUGUCUUCUUUACAAAUAUUGUAUUUAGAGUUUUUCUAAAAAUAGUCGCUAGCAAAAGUGACUUUGUCUCUACUAAUCAUAUACCUUGAGUACAGGUACAUGUAGAAAGCAAGACACAGACAAAUAAACUCAGGUGAAACUGUUUUCAAAUUAUCAAGAGGGCCAUUCAUAUCAUCACCGAGAGGGCCAAUUCAUAUCAUUGCCGAGAGGGCUAUUUCAUAUCAUUGCCAAGAGGGCCACCUCAUAGCAUUGCCGAGAGGGUCAUUUCAUAUCAUUACCAAGAGGUCCAUUCAUGUCAUUUUCCAAGAGGGUCAUUUUAUAUUUGUUGACAGGCAAGACAUAAAUGCUGGCAUCGAGGAUAUCAUCAAUAUUUUAUAUCUGUUGACACGUAAAGACAUAAACGUUGGCGUCGAGGAUAUUAUUCCAUUUUAUACCAGUUGACGUACAAGACAUAAACGUUGGCAUCGAGGAUAUCAUCAGCAUUUCACAUCUGUUGACAUGCGAGACAUAAACGCUAGUGUCGGAGAUAUUUCAUCAUUUUAUGUAUCAGCAUCUGAAUGCAUCAAGAGCACACGAUUUGAAGGGACGCCUUUAAGUCACUAUCUAAGAAUGGAUGAUAGAUAAGAUUUUCUAGAAAUUGACAAUUUGAGGGUCAUCUAUAAGUCAUAUUAUUUAAAAUAGGAUAGUGUGAAACAUCACCUAUGAGUUGAUAGCCUAUAGGUCAUCCAUAACCGAAUAGUCUGAAAGAUUGCCCAAAAAUCAAUAGUCUGGAGGUUAUCCAUAAGUCACAACUAAAUCCCUACCAAAGAAUAUACGAUAUAAUUAAAUUGAUACGUCAAGGGUUCUUUAUAAGUCGCGUCAUAUCCAAGAUCAAUUAUGUGCAGGGUUACCCAAGGACUAGCAAUUUGAGUGAUAUCUAUAAAUCAUAUUGUAUCCAAGGUCGGAUGAUGUGCAGGAACACUUGAAAUCAAGCAAUUGCAGGCAUAUCUGUAAGCCAUCUCUUAUCCAAGGUCAGAUAAUGUGCAGGAUUACCUAGAGGCUAGAAAUUCGAAGGAUAUCUAUAAGUCGCCUCGUAUCCAACAUCAAAUAAGACGCAAGAUUAUCCAAAGAUUGAUAAUUUAAGGGAAAUUUAUAAAUAGAUCAUUGGCUAUAACUGGAGAGGUUAUCAUUCCACGUACAAAAGUAUAUAUAGGUAACCAAAAGGGUUGCCACACCAGUACAAGAAUACACAAUUGUAGGGACCGUUCCACAUAAAGUGUCGUCGGUGUCCAAAAGGGCCACCCCACUUUGAAGACAUAUUCGUUCGACAAUUAAGCUAAUUAUACAAUAACCAAGAAGUUUAUUGUGUCUAUUGUUGCGAGUUAUUUCCUGCCAAAUAGGUACAAGAAAAGAUGACUUCGCUUUUAGACAACAGCUCACGCGGAGAUAUGGUAAAAAACUAUACACCUCUUUUGUGAAUUGGGCUUAUUACUAAUGAUUUCUGUUUGAGAUAUUGUCGAGAGCAUCCAUGCGGAUAAAAAUCUCAAAUAAAAAACACAGGUGCGUACGACUCCAAAAAGGAUGAAGCACAACGUAGAACUCUUUCUUAGUAGCAAAAUGGGACAUAGUCUAAAGAGGGACGUCAAACUCUAUCUACGCGAGCUAAAGGAUGAUCACCACCACCAUCCAACCACACCCCUGUUAGAAGGAAUGUGGGUAUUUUAGUAUAUUCUGGUUUCAUCUUUACCUCCGGGAUAUUUCUAAACUCAUGUCCAGGGUAACAUUCUUUUUCUUUCAAAUUUGGGUGGCAACACACUUAGAGUUUUGGAAAUUAUGCCCAGGUAAAUUCUUACCUAUGGAUGUGAAGAGCUCCACAUUCAUGGUUAAGAGGUUACAAUCCUCUUUUCCGCAACUCGAUUAACUUGUCACUCAUCUUGAGCCAAAGAUCAUCUGAAAUAAAAGACUAUCUUUUCUACCGAUUGAGUCGAACUACAAAAAGUCUGAUUCCCUGAGUCUUGGGGAUAUGUAGGCUGGGCUCUAUGUAGAAAACUCGACUGCAUUCCAACCUCCCCCAAAUCCCUUUAUUCCCCAGCUUCUCGAUUUUAUCAAAAACUCUAAAAUCGAGAUAGCUUAUAAAUUUUCUUGAAAAUUGUGCUUAAAAUCAAGUUUUAUAAAUUACAAGUGGCUUGAAUUAUCAUGUAACUUGAGAUAUGUAGGAAACCUGACACCGAGGUUCGGCCAUAAGUCCAUGAAACUCGUACAAAGAUUAACCUCUUUAUAAUUUGAAUUGGUGGUCGGACAAAAAUUAGGUACGUCAACCUCCCAUUGCCCAGGGUUACUUGUAUCCACCCUACCCAAAGGGAGGGGGUAGUUGUUGACACCUAAUUUUUACCCUCCGCAAUCCAAUUUAAUUUCGAGUUUCUUCAAUUUUAAAAUAAAAUCACAAUAAUUAUUUUAUUCCAAUAAAUGUAAUUUAAAAUAUUUAUUUGAGUUAAUUUUGUCAUUUAAUUAACGAUUAUACAUUUUUGUAUUUUUAUACGAGAAUGUAUAAUUUUUUUAUUUAAAUAAACAUUUUUUUGUUAAAAUUAGAGUUUUAUUGAUUAAAUUUAAAAAUUAAUCCAAAUGGACAAAGUCUUGAUUUUUAAAUAUAAUUUAUUCUUACACAUAAUUUAUUUGAAUAAAUAAGUGUUUGAUUUUAUCGAAUCAAGAAACUCGGGGUUAAAUAAGAAGUUAAUUCAUUUCAAAUUUUGACUUAAUUUAGCCAAUCUAUUAGCUUUGACCAGAAUUGAAAUCAAAUUGGCCCCAAUUGCGAUGCAAUUGGCCAAUUGAUUUUCAAUUUGGCCAAAACUUAAAUGACUUGGCCAAAUCCCCAAUUCACAUAACCUAAUCAAAACCAAAAUUAGUCCAUUCCCUUCACUAAUUAAUCGAAUAACCCAGGCCCAAAAUCCGUCCAACCCAGGGCCAAAAUCCCUCCGACCCAACCCAAUCCCCAUCUAUUAUCUCCUUCAAACAAAACAUACGCAUAAACCAGCGUACAACCCUCACCAAGAGUUGCAUACCAACUCCAUCCACUUCGCGACCCGUCUUCAAUAACCCGAUUCAGCCAAAACCGAACCAUCUCCAAGCCCAUCAGUUUUCUCUUCAAAUAUGUUUCACGCUAUAUUUGGAUGGAAAGAAGCCUCGAAUCUUCUAGAAAUGAGUCUAGGUGGACUCUCCAACGGUUCAAUCCCACGAUUCUCGAAUGAGAUUGAAUGAUUUCGUACAUAUUAGGACCUUUUUCAUUGGUUCUUGAAGGGAAUUGAUUUUUCCCAAACCAUAUUGGUCCACCCGUCACAAAUUUCUUGGAGAAAAUCCAAAAAUUGGUACGAAUUAGCACAAAAAUGGGCUAUGGGGGGAGAUUUUCAAAUUUAAAAAUUCAAAAUAUCUUUUUUUUCAAAUCCUAAAAGGACCCCUAAUUCGUCUUCUAUCUAUAGACACCUUGGGUCACUAUUUCAGGGUUAUUUUUUUUAGGGUUGGAAAUUCUUGGGUUAAGAAUUUGAGGGAAAAUUCUUAAAAGGCAUAAAUAAAAGAGAGGAAAUUUUGGGUUUGAAAAAUUGAGGGAGAAAAGAAAAGAACAGAAAAGAAAGAAAACUCUUGUAAAAAUUUUAGUCAUUUAGAAGGAAUUCUAUUUUUGUAUUCAAAGGUUUACCCACUAGAUUAAAGCCUCGAUUCGUAGGAAGAUGUUUUCCUUAGUGGUUGUGAUUCUGAAGUUAGCCUCGAGGCACCAUUUUGCUGCUCCAUAAAAGGUGAAGUCUUUCCUUUUGUUCUUUCUUCACAGUGUGUUUCUUUCUUUUGCUACUAUUCUAUGAACGUAGUCCAGCAAUCGAUUCCAUGCUUCUUAUUGUGAUGUUGAUUUUGCUGUGUUCUCUCUCAAGCUCACAGUCUUACUAUUGCUUUUACCCUUAAUUCCCUCACUGCUUCCCAUUCUUUCUUCUUCAUCUCUUUGUAUCUACAUAUGUUUGUUCUGUACAAGUGUGUGUACGAAGUGCAUCAUUGUGCAUGCUGAGGUAAAGCUGGGUGCAAAAGUAUGUAGCGAUAGUUUUAUACUGUGCUUCAAAUAAAAAGGGGGAUAAAUGGGGUCCCUAUCACCGAUUAUUAUCUUUGUCAAAAUUAUAAUUUUGGGUGUAAUUAGAUUUGGUCAUUGUUUGCCGUUUCUGAUGUUGGAAAAUCCUUGUAGUUUGCAAACUCUUUCUUGAACCUGCUUUGCAUCAUUUCUUCUCCCAUUAAGGUACUGAUUUCAGGGCCUAAAACUCUUAAAGUUUUGCAAGACCAUGUUUUGGAGAAUAGCUGCAGUCGUUUUCAUUUCCCAAAAAUUAUUAUAGACGAAGUGACCAAGAUUGAUGCAUCAUUAUGAUUUAUGAUAGUUAAAUUUGUUAUUUUUGAAUGGUGGUUCUUUUUUUGGGGGUUGUCUUACCGUCAUUGUGGUUUUCAGUUGUUUGGGGGGAUUUCCAGUUUAAGAUAAGAACUUUGAGAAUUUUUGUUCUUUUUUUAAUUGAUUGCUUAGUAGUUGUUCGUAUUAAUUCAGUUGUUGCUCGUUUCAAAUUGGCAUGUGAUUUACCUAGUAGUAUUACUGUCCUUCUUGGUUCACCUAUUUUUAGAUCACCAUAGGUGCAGUUUCGAGCUAUCUACGUCGGGUUAUAGUUGAAGAUUCUAUUCUGAUUUUAGUAAAUGCAACCUGCCCACUUGCUUAGUUCUAGUUAAUUUGAAUGGCUAUUUUGUGUUCAAAUCAAAAUAUUUCUUUGUUCUCUAGUAGCUAAUUGUCUUGGUGAUUAAUUGGUUGUAUAAAUAAUUAUCUCGUAUAAUGACAAAUCAAUGGAGUUACCACUACACUAGGGAAUUAUAGAAGCCUUGAUCUCUAAAAU